rnacentral:rRNA from 1 species
UACGUAGGGGUGCAAGCGUUUGUCCGGAAUUAUUGGGCGUAAAAGAGCUCGUAGGCGGUCUGUCGCGUCGGGCCGUUCGGUGAAAACCCGGAGCUCAACUCCGGGCCUGCAGUCGAGUACGGGCAGACUGGAGUUCGGGCAGGGGAGAUGGAAUCCUGGUGUAGCGGUGAAAUGCGCAGAGUAUCAGGAGGAACACCGGUGGCGAAGCGGGACU